UCAGACGAUGCGUCAUGCAUAUCAUAAGCGGAGGAAAAGAGACUAACAAGGAUUCCCUUAGUAACGGCGAGUGAAGCGGGAAGAGCUCAAAUUUGAAAUCUUCAAGGUUUUACCUUGACGAAUUGUAGUUUAAAGAAGUGUUUUCUGCUGAAGUUUUGGUAAAAGUUCUUUGGAAUAGGACAUCAUAGAGGGUGAGAAUCCCGUAUUUGACCAUUAUUUUCAGCUGUGUGAUACACUUUCAAAGAGUCGGAUUGUUUGGGAAUGCAGUCCAAAAUGGGUGGUAAAUUUCAUCUAAAGCUAAAUAUUGGCGAGAGACCGAUAGCGAACAAGUACCGUGAGGGAAAGAUGAAAAGAACUUUGAAAAGAGAGUUAAACAGUACGUGGAAUUGUCAAAAGGGAAGCGUUUGACACCAGUGUUGUUUUCUCGAAAAUCAAUUAAAAAGAGUUAGAUUUUGUUGUGUAUUGACCUUAACAGCUUGCAUUUCAAUUUUCUUGCUUUUUUUAAUGCACUUUUCGUUUAACAAGUCAACAUCAGUUUCUUUUGUUGUAAAAAGGUCAUUGGAAGGUGGCUUUCUUUUCGGAGAAAGUGUUUAUAGCCUUUGACUCCUGCAAUCGGAGAGACUGAGGUCUGCAGCGUAGAUCCUUCGGGGUUAGAUACAUUUGUGCUAAGUUAUAGCUUUUUAUAGACAACUUGUUGACUAUGAUUAGUCUUGUAGCUUACUCGCUUAUGCUAUUUUACCUACGCUUAGGAUGUUGAGUCGUAGAGCACGCAG
rnacentral:rRNA from 1 species